UUCUCCAUCAAGCCUUGCAUCUUCCUCCUCUUGACUAUGAACAGGAGAGCCAGUUUUCCUUGCGAUUGAUCCUACCUUUGUGCAGGUACCAUUGAUACAAGACAUCAAGUUGAACGGCAUGCUUAUUUCGACCCAGGACACGGAGAAGAACAGGUGAAAGGACCUCCAUUGCUGAUAUCAGACUGCAGAAAAUUUUUCAUGCUGUUUUGUCAUCGCGUGGCGAAUGGAAUAUCAGGUCUUGCUGAUUGAUCUCCCAAAGUCAGCUGAAACCUACAGCCGUCGGCGUGGGGCUAACUGCAAAGACACUGGGCUGUCAUUUUCGUUUGGCCUGAUCUGUGAUUUCCGUAGAACCGUGACCACCUGUACCGAAUCGCUUUGAUAUCGGUGGAAGGAGAACCCUUGUGAAGGCAGGCAGGGAAAAUGGGAAAAAGGCGUGGCCUUGCGUGCAUGCCACGGCGUCUCUCAAGCCGCGAGUCAUUUUUGGUGCACCGUCAUGUCAUCGAGAAGCAGGCGUAUAGGGAUGGUAUGGCAUAGCAUGUUAGCAUGGCAUCUGCUUGGAUUUUCUUAUCAUUUUUUAUUCACAUAUAUAGCUGGGAGCUUUUCCUCUCAUAUUUGAAAGCUUCUAAAGAAAGGUUAAGGUUAAAUGAGUUUUUGCUUGUUCGUUAGCAUGAUGGGAUCUUGUGAUGCGAGGGGUUCCUUUCAUGGAAUUGUCCCUGCAGCGCAGCGGCAGGUCACGAGGAGCUCGGCAAGCUGCCCAUUUUCAUGAACCGAGAGAGCGGUAGCUUCCACUGAUCAGCUGCUACAAUUCUGAUACGUAGCCUGCUGGCUGGAACAUUGACGGACUUGACGAUUGACUCAAGUAAUUACGCCAUGUCACCAUCUUUUUCACGGGAUCCUGGUUGCAGCCGUGCCUCACCCAACGGUGGGUGUACGCCCACGUGUAAGAUCCCUGUCGAUUGGCCGAACGAGACCAGCCAGUCCACGAGGAUGCUUGCUGCCAGAGGCCACUGACGCCAGCGGAUGGAAUCUCUGCUCCUGGCCUGAGAAUCCCGAGGAAUCUUAAUCACUUGGUAACAAGAUUCCCCCCCUCCCAUUGAUGGCGUUUAAGAUCUAACCAGAGCAGCGUCCCCUCUUAUAAUUGCAGGUUGUUGUACCCGAUCCCAUGAUAGAACGGGGGCACCUAAAACAUGGGCAUCUCCUGUCUCCAAGAUGCCCAAUUCCAACUUAAUACACUGUUUCUUUUCUUUUUCAGUUUCUGUUGAGAUUCUAUGUUGUAUGAUUAGUUAUGUGUGGAGAGGUUAUGAAAGUGUGCUGCAUAUGCAGCCUGGAACACAUAUAUGCUGGGUGCCUCUUCAAGUCUUUGAUUUCACGAGGAAAACGCAGUGACAUGAGGUGAAGGCAACUUGUGCAAACAAAGCCACCUGCUUUCCCCCGUAGAUAAGAUAAGAUGGUGACCCAGACAGGCAGUGACCCUUGUUACACAAUUGACAAUACACAGGGGAAAAGGACAGCGGGUUAGAUAAGAUACUCUUUUGCAGGCAAUUAUCAGAUCCCUUAUAGAGAAGCCAUCGAAAGUAUGACAUGUCGUAUUGUUUUCUUUAGAUCCAAUAUAAUUAGAGCUCUGAACUUUAUUAAUGCACGGGAUGAGGUAAUAUUUCGGGACGAAAAUAUGCUACAUGCACAUACGUUACAAGAAAAGAUGACACUUGAUUCAGCCAGAUAAACGCGCGGUACAGUAGGAGAUGCAGAUGCUUGAUCAUCUGUUCUGCUAAUCUCUUGGAUCUGCCAUGCUUCAGCCGUAAAUGCAUUUGUAUGUGAUGGGUACGUAUCAUUUUGCAGAUGCUUCCCUGAAGCUAGAAGCAUCACGAACCUGAAUCACCAUUCCCAUUGUACCAGAGAUUCUACGCAUCAUAGACGAGCAUUUAUUUGCUCAGCAAUAAAAUAGGGCGCCCAUUGUUGCGCGAUCUCUUUGCGGCUUCUGUGGUAUCUUCUCUCUGCGGCUUUUUUAUAUAUAAUCGCAGCUCUUUUGUCUGGUUCUUAGUGCGAGCAUCCGUGUUAUAACAAUACUAAACUUCAUGUCCUCUUGACGGGAUGAGUCUAGCAUGACACAAGCGGACCAACAAAUCAAUCAACACGUAAGAGUAGGACCAACAAAUCCAUCAGCACGUAAGAUUAAUCGUUCCCUCUUGAUGCCCUAGUUUCUCAUUAGCAAUUGAAACAACGAAAGCUAAAUUUUGCCAUUUUGAAUCAAAGUAAAAAAAAAAGAUUCAUAUGGAGUAAUGAGAUUAUUUCCACGCCGUAUAUCAUUGCUUAUUGGAACCACGAAACUAAUUUCCACCUUAUGAAAGAAGAAAAACUAUUGUUUUCCAGCUUCUAUAUCAUGUAACGCAAAAAAAUUUCGUUUCUCAGAAUGCCGAAAACAGGUGUUUCGUCAUCAAUCAUGAAAUAACUAAAAUGUUACAUUUCUUUUACAAAGAAAUAAUUAUGAAAAAAACUGAUAGGAACUUAUUUCAUUUAUUCUACACAGCAUGUUUGAAUGGAUUUUAAAAAGGACUCACGUUUUUUUAAGAAAAGUGCAUUUCAUAUCUAAGAUCCAAUCUAAUUCCACAUCCCCUCUAAUAACAUUGAAAAAUUGUAUAACAUGUCACCCAUAUGGCUGAUUGUUUACUUCCUUCAGCCUACAGGCUACAGUACAAGUGUCUGAGCAGGCCCAAAUAUGGCAGACCCAAGCGCGUGCAAACCCACCUUGAUUUCUUGGCCCGUCAAACAUUUCCAGCAAAUGAUCCGCAAGUCGAGCCCAUCUCAACUUUGUAGUGUGUACGCUGAGCCCAAUGUCAACUUGUAGUCAGAAUUUUGUUACGGUGAGGUGCACAAGGUCUCACGACUUACGUGCCAUGACAUCACCAAUUUAAAAGGAUAGUGGAAUAUACCGCGGACGUUAUUAAGCAUUGUCAAAUCCACAGCUGAUAAUUUUGGUGAGAUGAUCAGAUAGAGCUAAUACAGUUUGAGCCAUCAUGGCGGCCAAUCAAACCAAUAGGGAAACAAUUUCGUCUUCAUACCAUCUCUCACCAGCAUCCAAACAUAAAUCAAGCAAUUUAUUUUGAAAAUGUUGGGGAUAGAAAAGUAAAACAGAAUGAAAAAUUUUGAAAACAAAAAAACAAAACAUUGUCACUCGAUGAUGCAUCAGAUCUCCAAGGUGAAAAAAGGGUGUGACAUCACAGAGAAGCCUCAGAUGCAAAUUACCCAUUAAAACUUGACUCCUCAUCUGCAUCCUGACAUUUAGUAUGAAAUUUCACGUAUUUUGAAUCGCAGAACGCAAAGCAAGCAUAUUCCGAACCCAGAUUUGGCAGCCCUACUAACAAACCAGUAUUGAUAUCUCUGCCCAUCACACACAAGCACGGAACAAUGAAUGUUAGCCUAUCGAUGUGUAUGCUGUACAUAAAAUCAUUGCAGAUUUCGAGCUCAGUUACAUCAACCGUUUUAAUCGCUCGUUUUUUAGCUGCUACCAAAAGCUAGCGAAACAGUUUUGAUGUAUAGUUACAAAUCCUUCUAAAAGACGAACAUUCACUUGGAGAAAUAGGCCACGGGAGAUGAUCAGAUAGAGCUAAUACAGUUUGAGCCAUCAUUGCGGCCAAUCAAACCAAUAGGGAAACAAUUUCGUCAUCAUUUCAUCUCCCUAGCAAGAAACAAGAUAUUUCAAGGAGAUUAGCGAUGUCGAUUAAAUCGAGAGAAGUUGCCAAUUGCUCAAAGGAUUGGAUGGAGACGGAGGGUGCAUCAGAUCUCCAAGGUGAAAAAGGGUGUAACAUCACAGAGAUGCCUCAGAUGCAAAUUACCCAUUAAACUUGUGACUCCUCAUCUGCACCCACCCAACAACAGCCUCGAAAUCCCUCCGAGCAGCAACAAGAACGGCAAACAAAAAAGAAUAACCGAAGGAAUAAAAAAAAGUUUCAGCGGCAUCAAUGUGGCGAAAAGGGCAAACAGCAGAGGCAGCGGCGGCGACGCGAAGACGAAUCGAACAGCAAAACCGCAAAAUCUCGAACCUUAACCCAACAACUCCGAUCCAGGUCGAGCGGGGCG